rnacentral:rRNA from 1 species
CAAGUCGAACGAAGCACUGUGGAUAGAGACUCGGUCAAUUGAAACUUUGACUAGUGGCGGACGGGUGAGUAAUGCAUGAGCAACCUGCCUUGGAGUGGGGGACAACAGUUGGAAACGACUGCUAAUACCGCAUGAUGUUAUCGGAGGGCAUCCUCUGGUAACCAAAGAUUUAUCGCUCUGAGAUGGGCUCAUGUCUGAUUAGGUAGUUGGCGGGGCAACGGCCCACCAAGCCUACGAUCAGUAGCCGGACUGAGAGGUUGAACGGCCACAUUGGGACUGAGAUACGGCCCAGACUCCUACGGGAGGCAGCAGUGGGGAAUAUUGGGCAAUGGGCGAAAAAGCCUGACCCAGCAACGCCGCGUGAAGGAAGAAGGCCUUCGGGUUGUAAACUUCUUUUCUGAGGGACGAAGGAAGUGACGGUACCUCAGGAAUAAGCCACGGCUAACUACGUGCCAGCAGCCGC